rfam:Comamonas testosteroni KF-1 ctg14069, whole genome shotgun sequence.
GAAGUGCGCCAGACCGCCGCUGGUACUAGCCGAAAGGCCAACGCUUGCGUUGGGUCGAAAGACCGUACUGGAGGAACGUCCGGACUGCAUAGGGCGGCGUAGCAGCUAACAGCUGUCCACCGUGAGGUGAGGAUCAGAGCAACAGAGACGAGUCUGGCAGGAGUGCCGCAAGGCAGACCAACCAGGGUGAAACGGGCAAUCUCUACGCGCAGCAAUACCAAGUAGGCACACGUUGACGGGGCCCCCGGAGUGUGCGGGUAGGUAGCACCGAGCCAUCAGGCGACUGAUGGCCAAGAUUAAUGGCGGUCACAUGGCGGGCAACCGUUGUGCACAGAAUCCGGCUUAUCGGCGCACUUCACAC